AAAGGGUAGCAAUACCUGAGUACAGUGGCGCACGGGUGAGUAACACGUGAAUGAUCUACCUCCGAGUGGGGAAUAACUGAGAGAAAUCUUAGCUAAUACCGCAUAACACUUACGAGUCAAAGCAGCAAUGCGCUUGGAGAGGAGUUCGCGGCAGAUUAGUUAGUUGGCGGGGUAAUGGCCCACCAAGACGAUGAUCUGUAUCCGGCCUGAGAGGGCGCACGGACACACUGGAACUGAAACACGGUCCAGACUCCUACGGGAGGCAGCAGUGGGGAAUUUUGCGCAAUGGGGGAAACCCUGACGCAGCAACGCCGCGUGGAGGAUGAAAUAUCUUGGUAUGUAAACUCCUUUCGAUGGGGAAGAUUAUGACGGUACCCAUAGAAGAAGCCCCGGCUAACUUCGUGCCAGCAGCCGCGGUAAUACGAGGGGGGCAAGCGUUGUUCGGAUUUAUUGGGCGUAAAGGGUGCGUAGGCGGUUUGGCAAGUCUUAUGUGAAAUCUUCGGGCUCAACCCGAAGCCUGCAUAAGAAACUGCCGGGCUUGAGUAUGGGAGAGGUGAGUGGAAUUUCCGGUGUAGCGGUGAAAUGCGUAGAUAUCGGAAGGAACACCUGUGGCGAAAGCGGCUCACUGGACCAUAACUGACGCUGAUGCACGAAAGCUAGGGGAGCAAACAGGAUUAGAUACCCUGGUAGUCCUAGCCCUAAACGAUGAUUGCUUGGUGUGGCAGGUACCCAAUCCUGCCGUGCCGAAGCUAACGCGAUAAGCAAUCCGCCUGGGGAGUACGGUCGCAAGGCUGAAACUC
rnacentral:rRNA from 1 species